UACGUAGGGUCCAAGCGUUAUCCGGAAUCACUGGGCGUAAAGCGUGCGUAGGUGGUCUGUUAAGUGAGAUGUGAAACCGUGGGGCUCAACCCUGUCGUUGUGUCUCAUACUGGCAGACUAGAGGACGGCAGAGGCAAGUGGAACUCGUAGUGUAGCAGUGAAAUGCGUAGAUAUUACGAAGAACACCAAUGGCGAAGGCAGCUUGCUGGGCCACUCCUGACACUGAGGUACGAAAGCGUGGGGAGCGAACAGG
rnacentral:rRNA from 1 species